GGGCCGGUGGUCUAGUUGGUAGGACGCCACCCUCGCACGGUGGAGGCCGCGGGUUCGAAUCCCGCCCGGUCCA
rnacentral:tRNA from 1 species